UACACAUUUUUGGAAUUUUUAAUUCCUAAUAAUUUUGUAUCACUUUUAAAAAAUUUUUAGUUAUGUAACUAAUAAUUUUGUAUCACUUUUAGUUAUGUAACUUUAAAUUUAAAGUAAAUCCAUCACGUGCCAUAUCAAAUUGAACCUAUGAAGUUCUGAAGAGAUUGGUAUUUUUAGUUUGCAAAUAUCUCAAUUCUGGGCUGAGCUUUUAAGAUUUUUGUUUCGUCUGGCAAGGCCACAAUUGUCAGGGUUUUUUUUUAAUUUCAAACCCCCAUAACUCAAAAACUCGAUGAGAUAAAAAAGUAAUAUUUUAGAUUUAAACCUGGUUCAAAAUUCUAAGAAAAUUGGGCAAUAUGAGGUGAAAAAGUCAUCAGAAAUUUCUGUUUGUGGAAGUAUUGGUGGAUGUGAACUCUCUAUUUUUCUCCUUCCUGUGUACACUUCGUAGGUCAACACUUCUCCAUCUCUUACUUCCAGUACUGCCAAUGAUCGUAUCCUCAAAUACAAUCUUAUUAAUGACACACUUAACACUGCGGUCCCUAACGGGGAAAUUCCAUACUGUAAAUGGAAUAAAUCUCCCCCCAAAGAAACCCUUGGACAUUAUGAGAUUUUGUAAGUAUUAAUCAUAGAUAAAGCAAUAGAUAAAGCAGGGCUGCCUUUUGACUAGUAUCUGAGAUGUUAACGCAGCAGGAACUCAGAUGGCAUAUUAUUACUUAUUUCUUUUAUGAAUGACUUCUUAGAACGCAUUUCUGAGCAAUUUCAAACCAUGACAAAUGCAUAAUGCAUAAAAGCAUAAUGGUUCACAAGGUCUGUAAACUUAGAGAUUGGUAUUUUUAGUUUGGAAAUAUCCCAAUUCUGGGCUGAGCUUUUAAGAUUUUUGUUUCGUCUGGCAAGGCCACAAUUGUCAGGUUUUUUUAAUUUCAAAUUCCCAUAACUCAAAAACGGGAUGAUUUAAACCUGCUUCUGAUCAUUUAACAAGUGUUCAAAAUUCUAAGAAAAUUGGCUGAUUUGAGGUAAAAAUUGGGCAACUUGAUAUGGAAUGACCCUGAGCUGCUGUUGAUAAUUUCAUUAAUCGUAUUUCUGUUUGUGGAAGAAUUGGUGGAUGUGAACUCUCUAUUUUUCUCCUCCCUAUGUACACUUUAUAGGUCAACGCUUCUCCAUCUCUUACUUCCAGUACUGCUAAUGAUCAUAUCCUCAAAUACAAUCUUAUUAAUGACACACUUAACAUUGCGGUCCCUAACGGGGAAAUUCCAGACUGUAAGUGGAAUAAAUCUCCCCCCAAAGAAGCCUUUGGACAUUAUGAGAUUUUAUAUGAUGAAGAGAUGGCGCAAAGUGAAGUGUCAGAUCGUGAUAUGAGAAGUCGCUCUGGGCAGUCCAUUGGAUUGAAGGGAACUCGAGCCAGAGACACUGGAAAAUCAGGGCCCCUUACAUGGAAGUAGCUGCAGAAUGAACUGUAGUCUGGCGGUUCCUGAAAUUCAGGGAUGUGGUUUUUGUCGGAGGUUUGCUUGAAAUGGAUGCUCAGAUUUUGGAUGACCUCCUUCCUGUUCGCAAAACGCUCUUAUGGGGGAGGUAUUGUUGCGCAAAGAGGACAGAAUAUUGAUAAAGAAAAGACAACAAUUUAACUUCCUAACGAAAGCAUUAAACGCCAAAUCCAUAAUUCCUAUUGGAAUAUCCGGUUGAGCUAUCCUUUUACUUUAAAGGCAAACGAAGGAAAUUUGAGACAUUUGAAGAAGCGGACAUUUUUUGGAGAAAAUAUGGGAAGAGGCUGGGGAAAUAUUGGAAGGAGAUAAGAAUGGAAUCAGAUCGGAAGAAAGGAAAGAUCAAGAGUUGUCAGAGUCGGAAAGAGAAGGAGAAGAAGAUGAACAACAGGAGACAGAAGGAUGAAGGACGGCUGCGUAUAGACUGCUGAACUAUUAAUCUUUUUAUUUACAGCUGUCUGAAGAGUAAUGUAAAGGUUGAAUAUUAUUGUAUUUUAUUUAAACAGGGAAAUACAUAUCAAGUUAAAGGAGGUCCCGUAAUUAGAAAAAGAAGAAAAUGGAAGAUGAAUUUGGCAGUAUGAUUUUAAAAUCUAUGGAAUGUAAAAAAGUUAGACAAAUAAGGGUGAUAAUUAGAAUGUGUAAGAAGGAAAUAA